CCUACGGGUGGCAGCAGUGGGGAAUAUUGCACAAUGGGCGCAAGCCUGAUGCAGCCAUGCCGCGUGUGUGAAGAAGGCCUUCGGGUUGUAAAGCACUUUCAGCGGGGAGGAAGGCGUUAAGGUUAAUAACCUUGUCGAUUGACGUUACCCGCAGAAGAAGCACCGGCUAACUCCGUGCCAGCAGCCGCGGUAAUACGGAGGGUGCAAGCGUUAAUCGGAAUUACUGGGCGUAAAGCGCACGCAGGCGGUCUGUCAAGUCGGAUGUGAAAUCCCCGGGCUCAACCUGGGAACGGCAUUCGAAACUGGCAGGCUAGAGUCUUGUAGAGGGGGGUAGAAUUCCAGGUGUAGCGGUGAAAUGCGUAGAGAUCUGGAGGAAUACCGGUGGCGAAGGCGGCCCCCUGGACAAAGACUGACGCUCAGGCGCGAAAGCGUGGGGAGCAAACAGGAUUAGAUACCCCGGUAGUC
rnacentral:rRNA from 1 species